GUAGGUGGCAAGCGUUGUCCGGAAUUAUUGGGCGUAAAGCGCGCGCAGGCGGUUCUUUAAGUCUGAUGUGAAAGCCCACGGCUCAACCGUGGAGGGUCAUUGGAGACUGGAGAACUUGAGUACAGAAGAGGAAAGCGGAAUUCCACGUGUAGCGGUGAAAUGCGUAGAGAUGUGGAGGAACACCAGUGGCGAAGGCGGCUUUCUGGUCUGUAACUGACGCUGAGGCGCGAAAGCGUGGGGGAGCAAACAGGAUUAGAUACCAUGGUAGUCCACGCCGUAAACGAUGAGUGCUAAGUGUUAGGGGGUUUCCGCCCCCCCCCUUAGUGCUGCAGCUAACGCAUUAAGCACUCCCGCCUGGGGAGUACGGCCGCAAGGCUG
rnacentral:rRNA from 1 species